rnacentral:misc_RNA from 1 species
GAUGAAGAACGCAGUGAAAUGCGAUAAGUAAUGCGAAUUGCAGAAUUCAGUGAGUCAUCGAAUCUUUGAACGCACAUUGCGCCCUGUGGUAUUCCGCAGGGCAUGCCUGUUCGAGCGUCAUUUCAACCCUCAAGCUCUGCUUGGUGUUGGGCCCUGCCCACUGCGGCCGGCCCUAAAGACAGUGGCGGUGCCGCCUGGCCCUGAGCGUAGUACAUCUCUCGCUCCAGUGCCCGGUGGUAGCCUGCCAGAACCCCAACUCUCGUGGUUGACCUCGGAUCAGGUAGGGAUACCCGCUGAUCUUAAGCAUAUCAAUAAGCGGAGGA